AUGAGUUAUGUAGUCAUUGUUGCAGGUACAUACAGAGGAGGCAUUUACUGCUCUGUGGCGGAAGCACAUGCAGAUGGCCAACCUGAAUGUUGAUUCUCAAUGAUCUUUUCCUUCCUGACGGUGAUCUGCAGUUAAACUAGAGAAUGAAUUGGAUUGGAAAGGACCUCAAAGACCAUCUAGUUCCAGCUCCCCAGAUGUAGGCAGCGUUGCUUGCCAACCACUGAAUCCAGGCACAUCUAUGGACACCUAGAGCAUCCAGUGUCAAGGUGCCUCUUCCUGUGCUUGAAGCUGCUGUUUUUAUGUGGUGCUUAAAGGCCUUCCCCACAGUUUGAAAAACUGCCAUACUGCAAAGCAAUGAAGACAGUAGGAAGUAUCCUUAAAUUGCCUUUUAUGUGACUGAAGCAUUUAUAUAUGAUCAGUCUGUUUGUGGUUUGAAUUGGGAUUUUACAUCUCCUCAGCAGCUCUUUCACAGCUCGUAGAGCAACCUAUCGACAUUAAUGGGCUUAAGUUUACAAAGACUUAUGAGAUCAGCGAGUAUUAGACAUGCUUCAUGUGUUGCCAUCUCACUGAAAUGAUGAAGUUUCAGCUUUGGAAAGAGCCAAGAAAAGCUCUGUUAAAUGCUUUCCCCUUCUUUCGAUCUCCAUCCAAUAUUUACCCUGGUUAUAGGGAGCUGGUAACUGAGUUAUGAAGACUUUGGGCUCAAACCCUGGGCAGAAAUGAGACUGGGUAACAAUUCCCCUCUCUUUAAAGAUCCUGAAAAUCUUAGCUUAAAUGGUAAUGAAAGCAGAGGAAUCUCACAGCAUCAUAAGCCGUGUUACUAUUUCUGUUAUACCCUGGCAUUUCAUUUCACGUGCAGUGACAUAUGCAAUACACAGAAAUUCCAUAAUAAAUUACUAUCAGGUGAUAUACCUCUGAAAGCAGAACAAACAGCAAGUAUGGUGUCAGAUGCUUUGAACAGGAAAACACAC